AGAUCUUCAUAAGAGGAAAAUUUGCUGGAUGUAAUGGGUGAGAUAAUUGAGAAAAUAGUAAGAACUGAAAAAUAAGAAAUUGUGAUGGAAAUAGAUGAGACGUACAGAGUACAGAUGAAUUAUACAAGAAGGCAUAAUCUUCCUAGAGAAGUUCAUGUCCAAUUGAUUAAGUCGACUCAUGAUGAAAUAUUGCACAGAACGAGAGAGAAGCCAGUAGAACAUAGUGGAAAGCAGAUAACUGUCCUUAAACAGGUGCCGAGAAGAGUAAGGGACUUAAGAAGACCUUACCACUUUCUGACAAUGAAACUUAUAAAAUAUAAUAUCAGUUUUAGUUGGUUGAUGCCGGAAGGAACUAUGGUCAAUUGGCAGGAGAAGAGAUAUCAACUAAACACAAUUGACAAAGCGGAAGUUUUUUAGGACCAACAAUUUGCUAAUGAAGGAGAGACAGUAGUGGAAGAAGUGGAAGGAAGGAAAGACUCGGCAGAGGAAAGAGGAGCAGAGGCAGCAAACAAGGAUGAAAACUCACCAGAUAAUAAGGAGAAAAGAUAUGGAAGAAGAAAGGCAGAAAUAUAUGAAAGACAAUAUGCAGAAUCUAGGGAAAUGAGAGCAACAAGAAGUACAAGACAAAGAAAUUGAUAAAAAGAGAGAGAAAUGUGAGGUAAUUUCAAUGAACAUUAAUGGCUUAAACUCUCCAGUGAAAAGGAAGAAAAUAUUUCAUAACCUACAAAAAUUGAAUGCGGAUGUAAUAGCCAUACAAGAGGUGCAUAUAAAAGAGAAACAAAAAUACCUGCUACAUAACAGAAAAUUAGGAAAUGCUUUUAUGUCAUUAGAUAAGCAAAAGAAAAGAGGGAUGGUGUUAUACAUAAAA